rnacentral:rRNA from 1 species
UACGUAGGGUGCAAGCGUUAAUCGGAAUUACUGGGCGUAAAGCGUGCGCAGGCGGUUUUGUAAGUCUGAUGUGAAAUCCCCGGGCUCAACCUGGGAAUUGCAUUGGAGACUGCAAGGCUAGAAUCUGGCAGAGGGGGGUAGAAUUCCACGUGUAGCAGUGAAAUGCGUAGAUAUGUGGAGGAACACCGAUGGCGCAAGGGCAGCCCCCUGGGUCGAAG